CCUUGUACACACCGCCCGUCACACCAUGAGAGUCUGUAACACCCAAAGCCGGUGGGAUAACCUUUAUAGGAGUCAGCCGUCUAAGGUAGGACAGAUGAUUAGGGUGAAGUCGUAACAAGGUAGC
rnacentral:rRNA from 1 species